rnacentral:rRNA from 1 species
AUUCCAGCUCCAGUAGCGUAUAUUAAAGUUGUUGCAGUUAAAAAGCUCGUAGUUGGAUUUCUGAUAGUAGCGUUGGGCCCGCCCGGGUUACCGGUGUGAGUGCCUGUUCGCUCCUUUCAUCCUUCUAGAGAACGGUUCUCUCCUUCAUUGGCAGUGGGAUCGCAAUCUAGAUCUUUUACUUUGAAAAAAUUAGAGUGUUUAAAGCAGGCUUGUGCUAUGAAUACAUUAGCAUGGAAUAAUAAUUUAGGACUUUAGUUCUAUUUUGUUGGUUUCUAGAACUGAAGUAAUGAUUGAUAGGGAUAGUUGGGGGUGCUAGUAUUCAGCGGCCAGAGGUGAAAUUCUUGGAUUCGCUGAAGACUAACUUAUGCGAAAGCAUUCACCAAGGAUGUCUUCAUCG